UCGAACGGUAGUAUGGUGCUUGCACUAUAUGAGAGUGGCGGACGGGUGAGUAACACGUAGAUAAUCUACCCUUGUGUUGGGGAUAGCUUAUGGAAACAUAGGGUAAUACCGAAUACGGUCUUAGAAUCGAUAGGGUUUUAAGAAGAAAGGUGCUACGGCAUCGCACGAGGAGGAGUCUGCGGUAGAUUAGCUAGUUGGUAAGGUAAAGGCUUACCAAGGCGACGAUCUAUAGCCGGCCUGAGAGGGUGAACGGCCACACUGGGACUGAGAACGGCCCAGACUCCUACGGAGGCAGCAGCUAAGAAUCUUCCGCAAUGGACGAAAGUCUGAC
rnacentral:rRNA from 1 species